UGCGUGGUGGGAAGAGUGUGGUUUCAGCUGAACCAGGCGCAGUGUGACCAGAACAGUAGGAGGGAAGGCCAGGCCUGGGUGGGAGGCCCCAGGAUGGGCGGGGGAAGGACUGAGGGCGAAGGCCAUCCCAACUCGCAGCAGAAAAAGCCUCCAGGCGGUCACGGGCUGCCCAUCUCGUGAGGCCAGAUGUGGGUCCUCCUGCAUAUCUGAAACAGCACAGAGCAUUGGGGCAGCCUCCAAACCUCCCCUAUAAGGAGCAGUUAAGGGAUCCAGAGGGCGUGGCCUGGAGCAGAGAGAAGGGAAGCAACAUGUGUGGGGCAUUCACAAGUGCAGGAUGCCUUCUCCGGGCUCCCAUGAUGAUCCAGACAGCUUCUCUACCCUCUUACGCAGGAAAUACCACAAAUACAUAGCCCCCAGAGUCCCUGCUCCUCCACCUGAAGCCAGAACCACCAACCAGAACAGAAGCCAGCAGCCACAGAGUGAAGAGAAGCUGCAGCUGCUACCCAUGGGCUGGCAUUGCCUACCACUGAGCCAGGGGCAGGCUGCCUGGGCACAUACCCGCCCAUCCCCACCCCUCAUGGUGGAGAAAGAGCAGUAAUCAUCCUCGCUCUGCAGCUGUGGAAAGCGAGCCUCAGAGGAACAGACAAGCACCAGCAAAGGCAGGACCCAAUUGCAGGCUCACCACCUGUCAGCAGCCCUAAGACUCAGAGUCGCCUUGCAGGGAGGCACCUUCAAGAUGGCACAACUGCUGAGGAGUCAUCUGCAGCCCCUUCACCCACCUCUACAGUCAAAGGGCAAAAACGGCAGUGUAGUGCCAGUCCACAUUUACCUACCACAGGAAGCAGCAGCUUAGCACCUGGGCUCUGGAACCAGGCCACCUGGGUUUACAUCCCGGCUCUGCUGCUUCCUAACAAGAGCAUGAACCGCCUGUGACUUGGCUUCCCCAUUUGUAAAACUAUCAACCUCAAAGGGUUGUUUGUGGAUUGAGUUUAUAUACAGCAGUUAGAACAGCAUUAGUUACAUCUUAUGUACCCAUGCAAGUGUUAGUUCUUCAGACCUACUACAUUAAGUGUCUGGAAGGUACCUACUGUGGGUACAACAGGAGCUGGUAAUCUAGCUGGAGAGUAUUUAUUUAUGGGGAAGGAGUCUUGCUGUGUCGCCCAGGCUGGAAUGCAAUAGCACCAUCUCAGCUCACUGCAACCUCCGCUUCCUGGGUUUAGGCAAUUCUCCUGCGUCAGCCUCCUGAGUAGCUGGGAUUACAGGCACCUGCCUGAAGGGAUGGGUUGCUCCUCCACACCUGUGGGCACUUCUCAUUAGGUGGAACGAGACUUGGAAAAGAGACACAGAGACAAAGUGUAGAGAAAGAAAAAAAGGGGGCCCAGGGUGUGUCUGGAAUUGGUAGGUCCUUGGUCUCACUGACUUCAAGAAUGAAGCCACGGACCCUCGCGGUGAGGUGAGUGUUACAACUCUUAAGGUGGCGCGUCUGAAGUUUGUUUUUUCUGACGUUCAGAUGUGUUUGGAGUUUCUUCCUUCUGGUGGGUUUGUGGUCUUGCUGGCUUAAGGAGUGAAACUGCAGACCUUCGCGUUGAGUGUUACAGCUCUUAAGGCAGCAAGUCUAGGAGUUAUUCGUUUCUCCCAGUGGGCUCAUAGUCUCACUGGCUUCAGGAGUGAAGCUGCAGACCUUCGUGGUGAGUGUUACUGCUCAUAAAAGCAGUGCAGACCCAAAGCGUGAAAGAACAAAGCUUCCACCACGUGAAAGGAGACCCGAGCGGGUUGCUACUGCUGGCUCACGCAGCCUGCUUUUAUUCUCUUAUCUGGCCCCACCCACGUCCUGCUGAUUGGUAGAGCCCAGUGGUCUGUUUUGACAGGGCGCUGAUUGGUGCGUUUACAAUCCCUGAGCUAGACACAAAGGUUCUCCUCCUCCCCACCAGAUUAGUUAGAUACAGAGUAUCGACACAAAGGUUCUCCAAGGCCCCACCAGAGCAGCUAGAUACAGAGUGUCAAUUGGUGCAUUCACAAAUCCUGAGCUAGACACAGGGUGCUGAUUGGUGUGUUUACAAACCUUGAGCCAGAUACAGAGUACCGAUUGGUGUAUUUACAAUCCCUGAGCUAGACAUAAAGGUUCUCCACAUCCCCACCAGACUCAGGACCCCAGCUGGCUUCACCCAGUGGAUCCCGCACCAGCGCUGCAGGUGGAGCUACCUGCCAGUGCCGCGCCCUGCGCCCACACUCCUCAGCCCUUGGGUGGUUGAUGGGACUUGGCACCGUGGAGCAGGGGGCGGCGCUCAUCGGGGAGGCUCGGCCGCACAGGAGCCCACGGAGUGGGUGGGAGGCUCAGGCAUGGUGGGCUGCAGGUCCCGAGCCCUGCGCCGCGAGAAGGCAGCUAAGGCCCAGUAAGAAAUCGAGCGCAGCGCGGGUGGGCCAGCACUGCUGGGAGACCCAGUACACCCUCCGCAGCCGCCGGCCCGGGUGCUAAGCCCCUCAUUGCCCGGGGCCCGCAGGGCGGGCCGGCUGCUCUGAGUGCGGGGCCCGCCAAGCCCACGCCCACCUGGAACUCCAGCUGGCCCGCAAGCGCCGCUCACAGCCCCGGUUCCCGCUCGCGCCUCUCCCUCCACACCUCCCUGCAAGCUGAAGGAGCCGGCUCCGGCCUUGGCCAGCCCAGAAAGGGGCUCCCAUAGUGCAGCGGCGGGCUGAAGGGCUCCUCAAAUGCCGCCAAAGUGGGAGCCCAGGCAGAGGAGGCCCCCAGAGUGAGCGAGGGCUGUGAGGACUGCCAGCACGCUGUCACCUCUCAAGGGGACCAGCGUUCAGCAUACGGAGGAUCCCGCCAGCCUCUGAGUUCCCUUAGUAUUUAUUGAUCAUUCUUGGGUGUUUCUCGGAGAGGGGGAUGUGUCAGGGUCAUAGGAUAAUAGUGGAGAGAAGGUCAGCAGAUAAACACGUGAACAAAGGUCUCUGCAUCAUGAACAAGGUAAAGAAUUAAGUGCUGUGCUUUAGAUAUGCAUACACAUAAACAUCUCAAUGCCUUACAGAGCAGUAUUGCUGCCCGCAUGUCCCACCUCCAGCCCUAAGGCGGUUUUCCCCUAUCUCAGUAGAUGGAAUAUACAAUCGGGUUUUACACCGAGACAUUCCAUUGCCCACCUUCCUCUUGUCUCAACUGCAGAAAGGUGUUCCUUCCUCUUUUACUAAUCCUCCUCAGCACAGACCCUUUACGGGUGUCGGGCUGGGGGACAGUCAGGUCUUUCCCUUCCCACGAGGCCAUAUUUCAGACUGUCACAUGGGGAGAAACCUUGGACAACACCUGGCUUUCCUAGGCAGAGGUCCCUGUGGCCUUCCGCAGUGUUUGUGUCCCUGGGUACUUGAGAUUAGGGAGUGGUGAUGACUCUUAAGGAGCAUGCUGCCUUCAAGCAUCUGUUUAACAAAGCACAUCUUGCACCGCCCUUAAUCCAUUUAACCCUGAGUUUGACAUUGAGAUUAACAGCAUCUCAAGGCAGAAGAAUUUUUCUUAGUACAGAACAAAAUGGAGUCUCCUAUGUCUACUUCUUUCUACAUAGACACAGUAACAAUCUGAUCUCUCUUUUCCCCACAC
rnacentral:lncRNA from 10 species